ACGGGAGGCAGCAGUGGGGAAUAUUGCACAAUGGGGGAAACCCUGAUGCAGCAACGCCGCGUGAAGGAAGACGGUCUUCGGAUUGUAAACUUCUGUUCUUAGUGAAGAUAAUGACGGUAGCUAAGGAGCAAGCCACGGCUAACUACGUGCCAGCAGCCGCGGUAAUACGUAGGUGGCAAGCGUUGUCCGGAUUUACUGGGUGUAAAGGGAGCGCAGGCGGGAAAUCAAGUUGGAUGUGAAAUGUCGGGGCUCAACCCCGGAACUGCAUCCAAAACUGAUUUUCUUGAGUGAAGUAGAGGUAGGCGGAAUUCCGAGUGUAGCGGUGAAAUGCGUAGAUAUUCGGAGGAACACCAGUGGCGAAGGCGGCCUACUGGGCUUUAACUGACGCUGAGGCUCGAAAGUGUGGGGAGCAAACAGGAUUAGAUACCCUGGUA
rnacentral:rRNA from 1 species